CUGCUGCCUCCCGUAGGAGUUUGGGCCGUGUCUCAGUCCCAAUGUGGCCGUCCACCCUCUCAGGCCGGCUACUGAUCGUCGCCUUGGUGGGCCGUUACCCCGCCAACAAGCUAAUCAGACGCGGGUCCAUCUUACACCACCGGAGUUUUUCACACAAAUCCAUGCGGCUUCGUGCGCUUAUGCGGUAUUAGCACCUAUUUCUAAGUGUUAUCCCACAGUGUAAGGCAGGUUACCCACGCGUUACUCACCCGUCCGCCACUAAG
rnacentral:rRNA from 1 species